rnacentral:rRNA from 1 species
UACGGAGGGAGCUAGCGUUGUUCGGAAUUACUGGGCGUAAAGCGCGCGUAGGCGGCUUUGUAAGUUAGAGGUGAAAGCCCGGAGCUCAACUCCGGAACUGCCUUUAAGACUGCAUCGCUUGAAUCCAGGAGAGGUGAGAGGAAUUCCGAGUGUAUAGGUGAAAUUCGUAGAUAUUCGGAAGAACACCAGUGGCGAAGGCGGCUCACUGGACUGGUAUUGACGCUGAGGUGCGAAAGCGUGGGGAGCAAACAGG